AAGCGGUGGAUGAUGUGGAUUAAUUCGAUGCAACGCGAAAAACCUUACCUACCCUUGACAUGUCAGGAAUCCCGCAGAGAUGUAGGAGUGCUCGAAAGAGAACCUGAACACAGGUGCUGCAUGGCUGUCGUCAGCUCGUGUCGUGAGAUGUUGGGUUAAGUCCCGCAACGAGCGCAACCCUUGUCAUUAGUUGCUACGCAAGAGCACUCUAAUGAGACUGCCGGUGACAAACCGGAGGAAGGUGGGGAUGACGUCAAGUCCUCAUGGCCCUUAUGGGUAGGGCUUCACACGUCAUACAAUGGUACAUACAGAGGGCCGCCAACCCGCGAGGGGGAGCUAAUCCCAGAAAGUGUAUCGUAGUCCGGAUUGUAGUCUGCAACUCGACUACAUGAAGUUGGAAUCGCUAGUAAUCGCGGAUCAGCAUGUCGCGGUGAAUACGUUCCCGGGUCUUGUACACACCGCCCGUCACACCAUGGGAGCGGGUUUUACCAGAAGUAGGUAGCUUAACCGCAAGGAGGGCGCUUACCACGGUAGGAUUCGUGACUGGGGUGAAGUCGUAACAAGG
rnacentral:rRNA from 1 species